rnacentral:rRNA from 1 species
AUACGGAGGGUGCGAGCGUUAAUCGGAAUUACUGGGCGUAAAGCGCGCGUAGGCGGUUUGUUAAGUCGGACGUGAAAUCCCCGGGCUCAACCUGGGACCUGCAUCCGAUACUGGCAGGCUAGAGUCUGGUAGAGGGGGGUAGAAUUCCUGGUGUAGCGGUGAAAUGCGUAGAUAUCAGGAGGAAUACCAGUGGCGAAGGCGGCCCCCUGGACUGAGACUGACGCUGAGGUGCGAAAGCGUGGGGAGCAAACAGGAUUAGAAACCCUAGUAGUCC